rnacentral:rRNA from 1 species
GAUGAACGCUGGCGGCGUGCCUAAUACAUGCAAGUCGAGCGAACAGACGAGGAGCUUGCUCCCCUGACGUUAGCGGCGGACGGGCGAGUAACACGUGGAUAACCUACCUAUAAUACUGGGAUAACUUCGGGAAACCGGAGCUAAUACCGGAUAAUAUAUUGAACCGCAUGGUUCAAUAGUGAAAGACGGUUUUGCUGUCACUUAUAGAUGGAUCCGCGCCGCAUUAGCUAGGUGGUAAAGUAACGGCUUACCAAGGCAACGAUGCGUAGCCGACCUGAGGGGGUGAUCGGCCACACGGGAACUGAGACACGGUCCAGACUCCUACGGGAGGCAGCAGUAGGGAAUCUUCCGCAGUGGGCGAGAGCCUGACGGAGCAACGCCGCGUGAGUGAUGAAGGUCUUCGGAUCGUAAAACUCUGUUAUUAGGGAAGAACAAAUGUGUAAGUAACUAUGCACGUCUUGACGGUACCAAAUCAGAAAGCCACGGCUAACUACGU